CCUACGGGGGGCAGCAGUGAGGAAUAUUGGUCAAUGGACGAGAGUCUGAACCAGCCAAGUCGCGUGAAGGAUGACGGCCCUAUGGGUUGUAAACUUCUUUUAUAUGGGAAUAAACCUUUCCACGUGUGUUCUUCUGUAUGUACCAUACGAAUAAGGAUCGGCUAACUCCGUGCCAGCAGCCGCGGUAAUACGGAGGAUCCGAGCGUUAUCCGGAUUUAUUGGGUUUAAAGGGAGCGUAGGCGGAUUGUUAAGUUAGUUGUGAAAUUUUGCGGCUCAACCGUAAAAUUGCAGUUGAUACUGGCAGUCUAGAGAGCAGUAGAGGUAGGCGGAAUGCGUGGUGUAGCGGUGAAAUGCUUAGAUAUCACGAAGAACUCCGAUUGUGAAGGCAGUUCACUGAACUGCAACUGACACUGAGGCUCGAAAGUGUGGGUAUCAAACAGGAUUAGAUACCCGUGUAGUC
rnacentral:rRNA from 1 species